rnacentral:RNase_P_RNA from 1 species
GAGGAAAGUCCGGACUCCCAAUAGAAAAUGAUUGUUGAAUAAAUUUCAAUAUGAGUAAUCGUGAGGAAAGUGCCACAGAAAAAAACCACUUAGUUAUAGAUGCUGAGAAAGGGUGCAAAGGUGCAGUAAAAGUGCACCAGAGGUAUUGUCGAGAUAUUUGCUAGGUAAACCCCGUUCAGGAGCAAAGAUAUUGUAAUUUAUUUGUAUCUAUCGAAUAGAAUUACUUGGAAAUAAAUACCGCAUUAAGUAGUAUUUUAUAUGAUACUACUUUAGAUAAAUAACUACCCUUCUUGCUUAUUUGAAAAUAUUAUAGAAGAACAGAAUCCGGCUUAU